GGGGAAUCUUAGACAAUGGGGGAAACCCUGAUCUAGCCAUGCCGCGUGAUCGAUGAAGGCCUUAGGGUCGUAAAGAUCUUUCAGUGGGGAAGAUAAUGACUGUACCCACAGAAGAAGCCCCGGCUAACUCCGUGCCAGCAGCCGCGGUAAUACGGAGGGGGCUAGCGUUGUUCGGAAUUACUGGGCGUAAAGCGCACGUAGGCGGAUCAGAAAGUCAGAGGUGAAAUCCCAGGGCUCAACCUUGGAACUGCCUUUGAAACUCCUGAUCUUGAGGUCGAGAGAGGUGAGUGGAAUUCCGAGUGUAGAGGUGAAAUCCGUAGAUAUUCGGAGGAACACCAGUGGCGAAGGCGGCUCACUGGCUCGAGACUGACGCUGAGGUGCGAAAGCGUGGGGAGCAAAC
rnacentral:rRNA from 1 species